rnacentral:rRNA from 1 species
GAUGAACGCUGGCGGCGUGCCUAAUACAUGCAAGUCGAGCGAACAGACGAGGAGCUUGCUCCUCUGACGUUAGCGGCGGACGGGUGAGUAACACGUGGAUAACCUACCUAUCAGACUGGGAUAACUUCGGGAAACCGGAGCUAAUACCGGAUAAUAUAUUGAACCGCAUGGUUCAAUAGUGAAAGACGGUUUUGCUGUCACUUAUAGAUGGAUCCGCGCCGCAUUAGCUAGUUGGUAAGGUAACGGCUUACCAAGGCAACGAUGCGUAGCCGACCUGAGAGGGUGAUCGGCCACACUGGAACUGGGACACGGUCCAGACUCCUACGGGAGGCAGCAGUAGGGAAUCUUCCGCAAUGGGCGAAAGCCUGACGGAGCAACGCCGCGUGAGUGAUGAAGGUCUUCGGAUCGUAAAACUCUGUUAUUAGGGAAGAACAAAUGUGUAAGUAACUAUGCACGUCUUGACGGUACCUAAUCAGAAAGCCACGGCUAACUACGUG